rnacentral:rRNA from 1 species
UUAAGCGACUAAGCGUACACGGUGGAUGCCCUGGCAGUCAGAGGCGAUGAAGGACGUGCUAAUCUGCGAUAAGCGCCGGUAAGGUGAUAUGAACCGUUAUAACCGGCGAUUUCCGAAUGGGGAAACCCAGUGUGACUCGUCACACUAUCAUUAACUGAAUCCAUAGGUUAAUGAGGCGAACCGGGGGAACUGAAACAUCUAAGUACCCCGAGGAAAAGAAAUCAACCGAGAUUCCCCCAGUAGCGGCGAGCGAACGGGGAGGAGCCCAGAGCCUGAAUCAGCAUGUGUGUUAGUGGAAGCGUCUGGAAAGGCGCGCGAUACAGGGUGACAGCCCCGUACACAAAAGCGCAUGUGCUGUGAGCUCGAUGAGUAGGGCGGGACACGUGGUAUCCUGUCUGAAUAUGGGGGGACCAUCCUCCAAGGCUAAAUACUCCUGACUGACCGAUAGUGAACCAGUACCGUGAGGGAAAGGCGAAAAGAACCCCGGCGAGGGGAGUGAAAAAGAACCUGAAACCGUGUACGUACAAGCAGUGGGAGCACAGGUUUACCUGUGUGACUGCGUACCUUUUGUAUAAUGGGUCAGCGACUUAUAUUCUGUAGCAAGGUUAACCGUAUAGGGGAGCCGGAGGGAAACCGAGUCUUAAUUGGGCGUUAAGUUGCAGGGUAUAGACCCGAAACCCGGUGAUCUAGCCAUGGGCAGGUUGAAGGUUGGGUAACACUAACUGGAGGACCGAACCGACUAAUGUUGAAAAAUUAGCGGAUGACCUGUGGCUGGGGGUGAAAGGCCAAUCAAACCGGGAGAUAGCUGGUUCUCCCCGAAAGCUAUUUAGGUAGCGCCUCGUGAAUUCAUCUCCGGGGGUAGAGCACUGUUUCGGCUAGGGGGCCAUCCCGGCUUACCAACCCGAUGCAAACUGCGAAUACCGGAGAAUGUUAUCACGGGAGACACACGGCGGGUGCUAACGUCCGUCGUGAAGAGGGAAACAACCCAGACCGCCAGCUAAGGUCCCAAAGUCAUGGUUAAGUGGGAAACGAUGUGGGAAGGCCCAGACAGCCAGGAUGUUGGCUUAGAAGCAGCCAUCAUUUAAAGAAAGCGUAAUAGCUCACUGGUCGAGUCGGCCUGCGCGGAAGAUGUAACGGGGCUAAACCAUGCACCGAAGCUGCGGCAGCGAACGUAUCACUUAAAGCGAUUCAGCGGGUUACGAUUGACGGAGCGAAGCGACGUCAAAGCGUAUACAAAGUCGAGUCGGUUUAAGGAUACGUUCGUUGGGUAGGGGAGCGUUCUGUAAGCCUGUGAAGGUGUGUCGUGAGGCAUGCUGGAGGUAUCAGAAGUGCGAAUGCUGACAUAAGUAACGAUAAAGCGGGUGAAAAGCCCGCUCGCCGGAAGACCAAGGGUUCCUGUCCAACGUUAAUCGGGGCAGGGUGAGUCGACCCCUAAGGCGAGGCCGAAAGGCGUAGUCGAUGGGAAACGGGUUAAUAUUCCCGUACUUGGUGUUACUGCGAAGGGGGGACGGAGAAGGCUAUGUUGGCCGGGCGACGGUUGUCCCGGUUUAAGCGUGUAGGUGUGUGUUCCAGGUAAAUCCGGUUCACUUUAACACUGAGGCGUGAUGACGAGGCACUACGGUGCUGAAGCAACAAAUGCCCUGCUUCCAGGAAAAGCCUCUAAGCAUCAGGUAACAUCAAAUCGUACCCCAAACCGACACAGGUGGUCAGGUAGAGAAUACCAAGGCGCUUGAGAGAACUCGGGUGAAGGAACUAGGCAAAAUGGUGCCGUAACUUCGGGAGAAGGCACGCUGACAUGUAGGUGAAGUGAUUUACUCAUGGAGCUGAAGUCAGUCGAAGAUACCAGCUGGCUGCAACUGUUUAUUAAAAACACAGCACUGUGCAAACACGAAAGUGGACGUAUACGGUGUGACGCCUGCCCGGUGCCGGAAGGUUAAUUGAUGGGGUCAGCGCAAGCGAAGCUCCUGAUCGAAGCCCCGGUAAACGGCGGCCGUAACUAUAACGGUCCUAAGGUAGCGAAAUUCCUUGUCGGGUAAGUUCCGACCUGCACGAAUGGCGUAAUGAUGGCCAGGCUGUCUCCACCCGAGACUCAGUGAAAUUGAACUCGCUGUGAAGAUGCAGUGUACCCGCGGCAAGACGGAAAGACCCCGUGAACCUUUACUAUAGCUUGACACUGAACAUUGAGCCUUGAUGUGUAGGAUAGGUGGGAGGCUUUGAAGCGUGGACGCCAGUCUGCGUGGAGCCGACCUUGAAAUACCACCCUUUAAUGUUUGAUGUUCUAACGUGGACCCGUAAUCCGGGUUGCGGACAGUGUCUGGUGGGUAGUUUGACUGGGGCGGUCUCCUCCUAAAGAGUAACGGAGGAGCACGAAGGUUGGCUAAUCCUGGUCGGACAUCAGGAGGUUAGUGCAAUGGCAUAAGCCAGCUUGACUGCGAGCGUGACGGCGCGAGCAGGUGCGAAAGCAGGUCAUAGUGAUCCGGUGGUUCUGAAUGGAAGGGCCAUCGCUCAACGGAUAAAAGGUACUCCGGGGAUAACAGGCUGAUACCGCCCAAGAGUUCAUAUCGACGGCGGUGUUUGGCACCUCGAUGUCGGCUCAUCACAUCCUGGGGCUGAAGUAGGUCCCAAGGGUAUGGCUGUUCGCCAUUUAAAGUGGUACGCGAGCUGGGUUUAGAACGUCGUGAGACAGUUCGGUCCCUAUCUGCCGUGGGCGCUGGAGAACUGAGGGGGGCUGCUCCUAGUACGAGAGGACCGGAGUGGACGCAUCACUGGUGUUCGGGUUGUCAUGCCAAUGGCACUGCCCGGUAGCUAAAUGCGGAAGAGAUAAGUGCUGAAAGCAUCUAAGCACGAAACUUGCCCCGAGAUGAGUUCUCCCUGAGACUUAGAGUCUCCUGAAGGAACGUUGAAGACGACGACGUUGAUAGGCCGGGUGUGUAAGCGCAGCGAUGCGUUGAGCUAACCGGUACUAAUGAACCGUGAGGCUUAACCUU